CAUUUGGCUGCCAAGCGGACUGGACGACCCAGUCGGUGAGGCCAGGCGAGGAGAGGUCCCGGACCCACUUGGCGAGCCAGCCCAGGAGGCUGUGGCAGAGGCUGGCUGUGGCGGCUGUGUGCGCAGCCUGGCCAAGGACACCUCCCUCAGUUGCAUUUGGUUGCCAGGCGGACUGGACUGCCCAGUCGGCGAGGCAAGGCGAAUAGAGGACCCGGACCCACUUGGCAAGCCAUCCCCAGAGGCUUAGGCGGAGGCUGGCUGUGGUGGCUAUGUGCGCAGCCUAGCCGAGGACACCUUCCCCAGAUUGGAAGUGAUGUUGAUAGAAAGAAUAUUUUGGCAUUGGAAGUACUCAUAGCUGCCCACAAAGAAGUGCUUUUGUUGUCACUUGCCUGAACUCCCUUCUUUGGGUAAGAUAAAAAACAGUGCACUCUGAAAGGUGAUGACAAAAUGUAGAAGAAAAUCUGCUUGUGGCUUUGCCUUAUUUCUUGAAUGUCAGCUCCAAAACCUGAGUGACAGCUUCUGAGUUGGCAUUCUCCACCCCUACUGUGGUCACUUGAAUACCCCUGCAGAAGUUGAUUCCUUGGGAAUUGUUCUGGGAAUGCAUGGAACCAGUAAACUCGUCAAGAAGACUCGAGGCAGAUCAUCUUUUCAUACACAUUGUCUCUAGGCCACCCUCUGGUGGGGAUGACCACAAAAGCAAGCUGGAUUUGUCACUGUGGGUACCAUUACCUCUACCACCAACAUCACCGAAACAAUGAUACAGUCUUCCUUAAGCAUGGAGACUCCUCUCCUUCCGUGUUGCAGUGGACACCUCCUGCAGAUAAGAAAUGCUUAACUGAGAAAUGCUCAUGUUGGGAUAUCAUCGAUGAGACUUUAAUUUGGGCAUGGUGACUGUUUCCCCUGCUGCCGCUUGCCUCAAUCCCAGGAGCCUCAGUAGAGGAAAUAAUAUUAUACAAGAAACUCAAAAUGAUGGAAUUGCUUAGUGCUCCCAUAAAAUAUACAUUUAUAAUUUUAUUUGCCAUGUCGUAAAAUUUAAAAUUAGGAUACAUUAAAAGGAAAGUUUGCAUAAUUUUUUAAUUCAAAGAAUACCUAAACAUUUCAUAUAUAAACUGAAUACCUCUUCUUUCCAAAUUCAUCCCCCAGAAUGUUCUUCUUUCCAAGGAGUUGUGUGCAUUUUUUAAGUAGCUAAUGCACACAAAGUUAUUUCGGGGGGUUGUGGAAAUAAAGCCACAUUGUACACAUUCUUCUGCAAAUUGCCUUUCAUUUAACAGUUUCUCAACCUUGUUUUUCUAAUUAAGUAAUAGGCAUCUGUGUCAUUUUUUGGAUGACAUGACUGUUUUGUAGUUGAACAACUAUUAAAUGUUUUAAGCAUUUCUCAUAGGUAUUUAUGUUAGCACCAAAUUCUGUGCCAUGAGCCUCCUUACAUAGCAAUAAUUUUGCUUUGUCUAUUAUAACUUAAUAAAUUAUUUACCAGUUGUAAUACUGGGACUAAGGACAUAUACAAUUUUUUCAAUUUUUGAAAAUUAUUCCAUGAUUUACAUUAAAAUGUUGUGAUAAUUUUAUCCUCAUAUGGCAAUUUGAAAUAUUGCCAGUUUUCCCAGACCUUUAACAGAUCACGAAUUUUAUAAACAUCUAAAGACCUUUGCCAAUGUGAUAGCCCAAACUAUUGUCUUUCUUUUGUUUUGAGUUUGAUCAUUUUCAUGUUUACUAGUCAUCUGUAUUUUUUUUUAAUUUAUUUUAUGUCCAAUAUUGGGGGCGGGGAAUAUCUUGGUCUCUUCCUAAUUUGGAAGAGGUCAUUCAUUAUGGGGGAGUAAUCUUCAGAUUGUCAAGCAUUACAGAUAUUUUCUAUACACUUUAAACUUGACUUCUGUUAUAAGAAUGUGUAUGAUUGUUCUGUGUCCAAGUAUAACCAUGUCUGCUUCUAUAGCUGCUGAGUUUCAUGUCAUUUUGGAAAGUUAUUUAUACUGAUUCCAUAAAACUCUUCACCUAUGUUAACUUCUAAUUAUUUUGUGUUUUUAAUUCAAAUUCUUAAAACCAUGAGAAUUUUUUAUUUGAAAUCUUAAAGUUGCCAAGUUAUUUGCCAUUACUUGCGAUUAUUUGCCAAUAAUUGCCCAUUUAUCUGUAAUGCCAUCUUGCACAUAUGCUGUAUUAUCAUCUGUGACUGGCUUCAUUUUUGUUCUGUGGGUCUGUGUGUCUCUUCUUCUGCCUCCUGUCUCAUGUGUCUUCUCAUUGGAAGAAAUUACAGUUUAGACUGCAAUUUCAUCAACAUUAAUAAAUUAAUUUAGGGGAUACUUGGUCUUAAUAAGUCUUCCUAUCCAAGGACAAGGUACGUCUUUAUUUUAUUCAAUACUUUUCAUAAUGGAUAUGUUUUAAUUUUGUGAUGGGAUAUUAUCUUACAUUUUAUUUUCUUGGCUUGGUGGGAAUAAGUGGUCUCUUUCUUAUUUCUCAUGACUUUUCAGAUAUUUUUUUCCAAAGUAUGUACUAAGUUCUCUGAAAAUUCUAACAGUUUGUAUUCUGAAUUUCCAUAUGACUAGGAUUUUAGUUAUGUUGAUAAUUUCUUUGAUAUUUUUAGAGCAUGUAAACAAUUGGGAAAAGAAGCCCACCCUUGACCCAGGGUUGAAUGGAAUACUUCUUUGGUUUAUCCUGCUGUUGCUUGUUAGUUCCCCAGAAAGAUUCCCAGAAUGAGCUAUGAUGAAAGCAAGCAGAGUUUAUUAAACCUGUCACAACAAAGGAAAAUACCGCUCUGACCAUCUUAGUACUAUUUCAAAAACAGGAAUUUAGGACUUGGAGUCUUGGGGAUGAUGUGGUAGAAAAGGGAAUUUCCAAGGUAGAAAACCUAUAAAGAAUGGUCAAAAUUGCUCUACAGUCAUUUUAAGGUUGGUAAAAGAGUAAAGUCAGGAUAUAAAUAUGAGUCUAUAUAAUCUGUAAUUAUAAUCUAUAAUCCAACUGUCUGAUAGUAAACUUGCCUAUAUGAGUAAUGUGUUAUCAAUAAUGAAGAGAUAUUUGUAUGUAUCAGUAAAUUGGGAGUUAAAUUAUGGGUAUACAUUCCUAUACAUUGGUAUACAUAGAACUCACUUGGGGUGGUAUUCAGUCUUAGUUCCAAGAGAUAGUUUAUUUUGAUGUGGAUGCCAAUUUUAAAUUUGACAUUUUGUAUGUCAUAUCAGGAAAACUUCCCACCUUUCAUAUUCUAUAAUGGAUUCCAAUAAAACCAAGAGACAUUGUAAUCA